GAAAAUAACGGUUUACUCUCAGUUUGCACUUUGCAGCACAAGCAAAAUAUCACAAAACAUGUAUGCACUUGUGAAUUUUUUUGAAGGCACAUCAGAAAUUGUUCCAGUGGAAAAUAUUGAAGAGUUUGAUGGGACGUGCGACAAUGUGAAAUAAUGUAUUGUUAAUUUGCAGCGCACUGGGAAGAGAUAUCCCGCCUAUAUCAUGGCUCUGGAUGAGUGUAUCACAGAAAAAGAAUUGGGCCGAGUCUGGAAAAAACAUCAGGCGGACAUAAUGACCAGUGUAUCACCUCAAACCUCAAAGUGACAGAGAGUGAGGAGGACCUCACCUUAGUGUCAAAACAGGAAAUGCAAUUGCAGCUAACCACUGCAAACUUUCAGAUAAGGGAGCUCAAAAGAGAAAAUGCAGCACUCAGACAAUCUCUCUCUCUGUGAUUGAAGAGUUGCCAGGUUUGCUCCAGGAGGUGAAAAACCUAAAGAGGGAGCGAAUGAGACACACAACUUCAAAGGGUGUCUGUGUUUGGUUUAAGCAUGAUGACCAGAAUAUGAGGAGUAGAGAUUGAGAGUAGGAAAGAUGAUUAGAAGUUGGAAGGAGGUGGUCGAGUGAAUCUGUAUUCACUUUCUCUGUCUGUCAUAUUGUGUGUUCCCAAACAUCAUGGCUAAUGGAUCCACACCAAUCUCCAAAACUCACAAUGGUAGGAGAGGAAACACAGUUUCUAACGGUGUGUGUGUUUGGUUUAAGCAUGAUGACCAGAAUAUGAGGAGUAGAGAUUGAGAGUAAGAUAUAUGAUUAGAACUUGGAAGGAGGUGGUUGAAUGAAUCUGUAUUCACUUUCUCUAACUGUCUGUCAAUACUGUGUGUUCCCAGACAUGGCUGGUGGUUUGAGACCCAUCCCCAGAUCUCACAAUGGUGAGAGAGGAAAAACAUUUCUUACGACAUCAUGGCUGGUGGAUCCACACCCUUCCUCCAACCCCCAAAAGCAGCACUCCAAGACAUAGCCGUCACAACCCUCCCAGACAGCAUGAGUUAUUUUCUGAUGUUUUACUGGUGGAACUGGCAGAAGGUGUUAAACUCCAUGCGAACAUUAUCACUCGACUGAGCAAAGAACCAUCAAAGUGCAUUUCUGAGCUCAUGACAGCUCUGUUUCCCAGAGAGGUGAUCGUCGUCUCUUUGUUGACAGGAAAAAUAAUUGAAUGCAUUCUGGGACCAGCAGGCAAAGAAACCGCUGUGCCCAACCAAAGUGUCUGCCAUUUGCACGUUUUUAAUUAUGCGAAACCAGAUGGAGGAGAAGGAUGUCUUAAAAAUAAUUAUAUCGAAGCUUAACAAUGAGUCGAAAUUGCUUAAGAAGUCCAAGAUUUAGGUUUAAAACUGAUUCUUUUUUUUUACUCAAAGGGAGUAACUUGGAGGCUAAGGCCUAACUUUUUGAUUUGUUAACUCAGUGAAAAAGUAUUAAAAUUGAUAAUUUUUUUAAUAUGAUG